rnacentral:lncRNA from 1 species
CAUUUAUCCUAUUUAUCAUCAAUUUUACAAGAAGCAAGAGACCGAAGGUAUAUACUACGCAAUUUAUACGCGUCGUAAGUGUGUGAGAAUAUGCUUGACACUUUUACUGUAAAUAUGAAAUACCCUUCGUUUAUUUCAGAAUGACAUUACUACAAUGAAUCCUAGACGAACGUUCCCACACCUGUGACGUGCAUUGUAUUAAACUCACAAUAAAUUAACGUUUCACAUGUAUAUUACAUGGAUUACUAUUAAAAAGUCAUCAUAAAGUAGUUCUUGCGUAAGAACACUAAAUAUUUCAUGAAUGCAACAUGCAUAUUCGCACGCAGUUCAAUACUAGUAUUAUGAAUGCAGUCGUGACAAC